UACAGCCAUAUCAUGUUGAAAUACUGAUUCUCAUAUGAUCACCAAAGUUAAGCAACAUUGAGCCUGGUUGGUACCUAGACGGAUGAUCACUUGGGAAUACCAGAUGCUGUAUU